CCUACGGGAGGCAGCAGUGAGGAAUAUUGGUCAAUGGGCGCGAGCCUGAACCAGCCAAGUCGCGUGAAGGAUGACGGCUCUAUGGGUUGUAAACUUCUUUUAUAAGGGAAUAAAGUGAGGAACGUGUUCCUUUUUGUAUGUACUUUAUGAAUAAGCAUCGGCUAACUCCGUGCCAGCAGCCGCGGUAAUACGGAGGAUGCGAGCGUUAUCCGGAUUUAUUGGGUUUAAAGGGUGCGUAGAUGGUUUAUUAAGUCAGUUGUGAAAGUUUGUGGCUCAACCGUAAAAUUGCAGUUGAUACUGGUUGUCUUGAGUACAUUUGAGGUAGGCGGAAUGCGUGGUGUAGCGGUGAAAUGCUUAGAUAUCACGCAGAACUCCGAUUGCGAAGGCAGCUUACUAAACUACCACUGACAUUGAUGCACGAAAGUGUGGGGAUCAAACAGGAUUAGAUACCCGGGUAGUC
rnacentral:rRNA from 1 species